GCGGCCUUCGGGACAGAGGAGACAGGUGGUGCAUGGUUGUCGUCAGCUCGUGUCGUGAGAUGUUGGGUUAAGUCCCGCAACGAGCGCAACCCUUAACUUUAGUUGCCAGCAAGUAAUGUUGGGCACUCUAGAGUGACUGCCGGUGACAAACCGGAGGAAGGUGGGGAUGACGUCAAAUCAUCAUGCCCCUUAUGACCUGGGCUACACACGUACUACAAUGGCCGGUACAACGGGAAGCGAAGCCGCGAGGUGGAGCCAAUCCCAUCAAAGCCGGUCUCAGUUCGGAUUGCAGGCUGCAACUCGCCUGCAUGAAGUCGGAAUUGCUAGUAAUCGCGGAUCAGCAUGCCGCGGUGAAUACGUUCCCGGGUCUUGUACACACCGCCCGUCACACCACGAGAGUUUACAACACCCGAAGUCGGUGGGGUAACCCGCAAGGGAGCCAGCCGCCGAAGGUGGGGUAGAUGAUUGGGGUGAAGUCGUAACAAGGUAGCCGUAUCGGAAGGUGCGGCUGGAUCACCUCCUUUCUAUGGAGA
rnacentral:rRNA from 1 species